rnacentral:tRNA from 1 species
GCGGUCGUAGCGUAGCCUGGUUAUCGCGCCUCCCUGUCACGGAGGAGAUCGCCGGUUCAAAUCCGGUCGACCGCG